UGCAUGUAUUUCAAAAUUUUUUCAAAUAAAUUACAGUGAAAAGUAAAUAGAUUGAUCAAAUUAAUCUAACAUAUAUAUAAUCUAAUCAUCAAAUCAACCUACUCUAAGAUCUAUGAGAUGAUAUGUCGCAUAUAAAAUCUGAAAAAUUCAGACGAUAAAAUCUGCAUGCAUGGAUGUAAGUAGUAGAUCAGAUCUACACCUAUCUGAGUUCAGAACUUGAUAUCUAAUCAUGGGUCG
rnacentral:lncRNA from 1 species